GUUUGAUCCUGGCUCAGGACGAACGCUGGCGGCGUGCUUAACACAUGCAAGUCGAACGGAAAGGCCCUGCUUUUGUGGGGUGCUCGAGUGGCGAACGGGUGAGUAACACGUGGGCAACCUGCCCAAAAGAGGGGGAUAACACUUGGAAACAGGUGCUAAUACCGCAUAACCAUAGUUACCGCAUGGUAACUAUGUAAAAGGUGGCUAUGCUACCGCUUUUGGAUGGGCCCGCGGCGCAUUAGCUAGUUGGUGAGGUAACGGCUCACCAAGGCGACGAUGCGUAGCCGACCUGAGAGGGUGAUCGGCCACACUGGGACUGAGACACGGCCCAGACUCCUACGGGAGGCAGCAGUGGGGAAUAUUGCACAAUGGGCGCAAGCCUGAUGCAGCGACGCCGCGUGAGGGAUGGAGGCCUUCGGGUUGUAAACCUCUUUUAUCGGGGAGCAAGCGAGAGUGAGUUUACCCGUUGAAUAAGCACCGGCUAACUACGUGCCAGCAGCCGCGGUAAUACGGAAGGUCCAGGCGUUAUCCGGAUUUAUUGGGUUUAAAGGGAGCGCAGGCGGACUCUUAAGUCAGUUGUGAAAUACGGCGGCUCAACCGUCGGACUGCAGUUGAUACUGGGAGUCUUGAGUGCACACAGGGAUGCUGGAAUUCAUGGUGUAGCGGUGAAAUGCUCAGAUAUCAUGAAGAACUCCGAUCGCGAAGGCAGGUAUCCGGGGUGCAACUGACGCUGAGGCUCGAAAGUGCGGGUAUCAAACAGGAUUAGAUACCCUGGUAGUCCGCACAGUAAACGAUGAAUACUCGCGGUUGGCGAUACACAGUCAGCCGCCAAGCGAAAGCGUUAAGUAUUCCA
rnacentral:rRNA from 1 species